CAGUAGCCGCGGUAAUACGUAGGUGGCAAGCGUUGUCCGGAAUUAUUGGGCGUAAAGGGCUCGCAGGCGGUUUCUUAAGUCUGAUGUGAAAGCCCCCGGCUCAACCGGGGAGGGUCAUUGGAAACUGGGAAACUUGAGUGCAGAAGAGGAGAGUGGAAUUCCACGUGUAGCGGUGAAAUGCGUAGAGAUGUGGAGGAACACCAGUGGCGAAGGCGACUCUCUGGACUGUAACUGACGCUGAGGAGCGAAAGCGUGGGGAGCGAACAGGAUUAGAUACCCCCGUAGUCCCUGUCUCUUAUAA
rnacentral:rRNA from 1 species